GCAUGGUAGCCGAGUGGGUAAAGCGCUCGGUACCGAAUAUCGAUGGUUCGAAUCCAUCCCGAAGCA